rnacentral:rRNA from 1 species
AUUGAACGCUGGCGGCAUGCUUUACACAUGCAAGUCGAACGGCAGCACGGGGGCAACCCUGGUGGCGAGUGGCGAACGGGUGAGUAAUGUAUCGGAACGUACCCGGCAAUGGGGGAUAGCUCGGCGAAAGCCGGAUUAAUACCGCAUAUGCCCUGGGGGGGAAAGCAGGGGAUCGAAAGACCUUGCGUUGUCGGAGCGGCCGAUAGCGGAUUAGCUUGUUGGUGUGGUAAAGGCUCACCAAGGCGACGAUCUGUAGCUGGUCUGAGAGGACGACCAGCCACACUGGGACUGAGACACGGCCCAGACUCCUACGGGAGGCAGCAGUGGGGAAUUUUGGACAAUGGGGGCAACCCUGACCCAGCCAUGCCGCGUGAGUGAAGAAGGCCUUCGGGUUGUAAGGCUCUUUCGGACGGAAAGAAAUCGCACUUGAUAAUACCUUGUGUGGAUGACGGUACCGUAAGAAGAAGCACCGGCUAACUACGUGACAGCAGCCGCCGUAACAC